rnacentral:lncRNA from 1 species
CUUCUUCUUCUUCUUCUUCCAUAUUUGACCCUUGGACCAUGGCCAAGAUCAAGGGAUACUGUUACUGCGGAAGUCAGAGUCAGGAGGAGCAUGUCGCAGUCCAUGUGGAGAAAGUCAACGUGGGCUUUGGAGUAUUAUAAUUUGGAUUUAGGAAGUCGGCAGAGUGAUGCCCAGGGAAGUCCCAGCAUGACCAUCGAAUCUAUCAACGUCGAGUCCCUGUGAAUGA